CGCUUUCGCACCUCAGUGUCAGUAUCAGUCCAGGUGGUCGCCUUCGCCACUGGUGUUCCUUCCUAUAUCUACGCAUUUCACCGCUACACAGGAAAUUCCACCACCCUCUACCAUACUCUAGCUUGUCAGUUUUGAAUGCAGUUCCCAGGUUGAGCCCGGGGAUUUCACAUCCAACUUAACAAACCACCUACGCGCGCUUUACGCCCAGUAAUUCCGAUUAACGCUUGCACCCUCUGUAUUACCGCGGCUGCUGGCACAGAGUUAGCCGGUGCUUAUUCUGUCGGUAACGUCAAAACAGCAAAGUAUUAAUUUACUGCCCUUCCUCCCAACUUAAAGUGCUUUACAAUCCGAAGACCUUCUUCACACACGCGGCAUGGCUGGAUCAGGCUUUCGCCCAUUGUCCAAUAUUCCCCACUGCUGCCUCCCGUAGGAGUCUGGACCGUGUCUCAGUUCCAGUGUGACUGAUCAUCCUCUCAGACCAGUUACGGAUCGUCGCCUUGGUGAGCCAUUACCUCACCAACUAGCUAAUCCGACCUAGGCUCAUCUGAUAGCGCAAGGCCCGAAGGUCCCCUGCUUUCUCCCGUAGGACGUAUGCGGUAUUAGCGUCCCUUUCGAGACGUUGUCCCCCACUACCAGGCAGAUUCCUAGGCAUUACUCACCCGUCCGCCGCUGAAUCAGAGAGCAAGCUCUCAUCAUCCGCUCGACUUGCAUGUGUUAGGCCUGCCGCCAGCGUUCAAU
rnacentral:rRNA from 1 species